UCGUAAGUCGUCGCCUGGUGUCAACCGGGGGCGGCGAGCCUUGAUCGUUCCGCAGGGGGCGUUGGGGUUUCACCAGAAAAAGGAA
rfam:Pseudomonas sp. StFLB209 DNA, complete genome.